rnacentral:rRNA from 1 species
UACGUAGGGACCGAGCGUUGUCCGGAAUCAUUGGGCGUAAAGAGCGUGUAGGCGGCUUGUUAAGUCUUGCGUGAAAUCUCGGGGCUCAACCCCGAGCGGUCGUGAGAAACUGGCAGGCUAGAGUGCGGGAGAGGAAGGUGGAAUGCUUGGUGUAGCGGUGAAAUGCGCAGAUAUCAGGAGGAACACCGGUGGCGAAGGCGGGUCUCUGGGCCGUAACUGACGCUGAGGAGCGAAAGUGUGGGGAGCGAACAGG